AACGAACGCUGGCGGCAUGCCUAACACAUGCAAGUCGAACGAGACCUUCGGGUCUAGUGGCGCACGGGUGCGUAACGCGUGGGAAUCUGCCCUUGGGUUCGGAAUAACAGUUAGAAAUGACUGCUAAUACCGGAUAAUGUCUUCGGACCAAAGAUUUAUCGCCCAGGGAUGAGCCCGCGUAGGAUUAGCUAGUUGGUGAGGUAAAGGCUCACCAAGGCGACGAUCCUUAGCUGGUCUGAGAGGAUGAUCAGCCACACUGGGACUGAGACACGGCCCAGACUCCUACGGGAGGCAGCAGUGGGGAAUAUUGGACAAUGGGCGAAAGCCUGAUCCAGCAAUGCCGCGUGAGUGAUGAAGGCCUUAGGGUGUAAGCUCUUUACCGGGAUGAUAAUGACAGUACCGGGAGAAGUAAGCCCCGGCUAACGUCCGUCGCCAGCAGCCGCGGUAAU
rnacentral:rRNA from 1 species